GAUGAACGCUGGCGGCGUGCCUAAUACAUGCCAGUCGAGCGAACGGACGAGAAGCUUGCUUCUCUGAUGUUAGCGGCGGACGGGUGAGUAACACGUGGAUAACCUACCUAUAAGACUGGGAUAACUUCGGGAAACCGGAGCUAAUACCGGAUAAUAUUUUGAACCGCAUGGUUCAAAAGUGAAAGACGGUCUUGCUGUCACUUAUAGAUGGAUCCGCGCUGCAUUAGCUAGUUGGUAAGGUAACGGCUUACCAAGGCAACGAUGCAUAUCCGACCUGAGAGGGUGAUCGGCCACACUGGAACUGAGACACGGUCCAGACUCCUACGGGAGGCAGCAGUAGGGAAUCUUCCGCAAUGGGCGAAAGCCUGACGGAGCAACGCCGCGUGAGUGAUGAAGGUCUUCGGAUCGUAAAACUCUGUUAUUAGGGAAGAACAUAUGUGUAAGUAACUGUGCACAUCUUGACGGUACCUAAUCAGAAAGCCACGGCUAACUACGUG
rnacentral:rRNA from 1 species